rnacentral:rRNA from 1 species
GCGCCAGAACGAAGAAAAACGGGCCGGAGCACGACACGGCGAGGAAUGCGGCAAUGCCGAAAUCGGCGAAGCCCCGAAAGCAAGAGCGCCGUUGAA